AGGACGAACGCUGGCGGCGUGCCUAACACAUGCAAGUCGAGCGGGGUCCAUCCAGUGGCAACACUGGGGAAGACCUAGCGGCGAACGGGUGAGUAACACGUGAGAAACCUGCCCUGAAGUCUGGGAUAACCCGAGGAAACUCGAGCUAAUACCGGAUGCCCCCACCGAGUCGCAUGGCUUGGUGAGGAAAGAUUCAUCGCUUCAGGAGGGUCUCGCGGCCUAUCAGCUAGUUGCGGGGUAACGGCCCACCAAGGCAUCGACGGGUAGCUGGUCUGAGAGGACCGAUCCAGCCACACUGGGACUGAGACACGGCCCAGACUCCUACGGGAGGCAGCAGUGGGGAAUAUUGCGCAAUGGGCGAAAGCCUGCGCAAAAAAAAAAAAAAAAAAAAAAAAAAAAAAACCCCGCAACGCCGCGUGCGGGAUGACGGCCUUCGGGUUGUAAACCGCUUUCAGUGGGGACGAAAACAGACGGUACCCACAGAAGAAGCCCCGGCCAACUACGUG
rnacentral:rRNA from 1 species